GACGAACGCUGGCGGCGUGCUUAACACAUGCAAGUCGAACGGAAAGGCCCUGCUUUUGUGGGGUGCUCGAGUGGCGAACGGGUGAGUAACACGUGAGUAACCUGCCCUUGACUUUGGGAUAACUUCAGGAAACUGGGGCUAAUACCGGAUAGGAGCUCCUGCUGCAUGGUGGGGGUUGGAAAGUUUCGGCGGUUGGGGAUGGACUCGCGGCUUAUCAGCUUGUUGGUGGGGUAGUGGCUUACCAAGGCUUUGACGGGUAGCCGGCCUGAGAGGGUGACCGGCCAAAUUGGGACUGGGAUACGGCCCAGACCCCUACGGGGGGCAGCAGUGGGGAAUUUUGCACAAGGGGCGGAGGCCUGAGGCAGCAACGCCGCGGGGGGGAUGACGGCCUUCGGGUUGUAAACCGCUUUCCCCUGGGACGAAGCGUGGGUGACGGUAAUGGGUAAAGAAGCACCGGCUAACUACGU
rnacentral:rRNA from 1 species